CCUACGGGUGGCAGCAGUGGGGAAUCUUCCGCAAUGGGCGAAAGCCUGACGGAGCAACGCCGCGUGAUCGAAUGAAGGCCUUCGGGUUGUAAAGAUCUGUUGACAGGGACGAAUAAGCAAUGCGAAUAGUUUUGUGUAUGACGGUACCUGUUUAGAAAGCUCCGGCUAACUACGUGCCAGCAGCCGCGGUAAUACGUAGGGAGCAAGCGUUGUCCGGAAUUACUGGGCGUAAAGGGCGCGUAGGUGGGCGCUUAAGUCAGGUGUGAAAACUCCGGGCUCAACCUGGAGACUGCACUUGAAACUGGGUGUCUUGAGGGCAGGAGAGGAAAGUGGAAUUCCUAGUGUAGCGGUGAAAUGCGUAGAUAUUAGGAGGAACACCAGUGGCGAAGGCGACUUUCUGGUCUGCAACUGACGCUGAGGCUCGAAAGCAUGGGUAGCGAACAGGAUUAGAUACCCCUGUAGUC
rnacentral:rRNA from 1 species